GACUUUAUAACUCAGUUGGUUAGAGUACCACGUUAACAAUCGUUAACAAAUCGUGGAAACGGAUAAUACCGUGGAAGUCCCCGGUUCGAGCCCGGGUAAAGUCA